rnacentral:rRNA from 1 species
UACGUAGGGUCCGAGCGUUGUCCGGAAUUACUGGGCGUAAAGGGCUCGUAGGUGGCCAACUAAGUCAGACGUGAAAUCCCUCAGCUUAACUGGGGAACUGCGUCUGAUACUGGAUGGCUUGAGUUUGGGAGAGGGAUGCGGAAUUCCAGGUGUAGCGGUGAAAUGCGUAGAUAUCUGGAGGAACACCGGUGGCGAAGGCGGCGUUCUGGACUGCAACUGACACUGAGGAACGAAAGCCAGGGGAGCAAACGGG